rnacentral:rRNA from 1 species
GAUGAACGCUGGCAGCGUGCCUAAUACAUGCAAGUCGAGCGAGUGGAUUAAGAGCUUGCUCUUAUGAAGUUAGCGGCGGACGGGUGAGUAACACGUGGGUAACCUGCCCAUAAGACUGGGAUAACUCCGGGAAACCGGGGCUAAUACCGGAUAACAUUUUGAACCGCAUGGUUCGAAAUUGAAAGGCGGCUUCGGCUGUCACUUAUGGAUGGACCCGCGUCGCAUUAGCUAGUUGGUGAGGUAACGGCACACCAAGGCAACGAUGCGUAGCCGACCUGAGAGGGUGAUCGGCCACACUGGGACUGAGACACGGCCCAGACUCCUACGGGAGGCAGCAGUAGGGAAUCUUCCGCAAUGGACGAAAGUCUGACGGAGCAACGCCGCGUGAGUGAUGAAGGCUUUCGGGUCGUAAAACUCUGUUGUUAGGGAAGAACAAGUGCUAGUUGAAUAAGCUGGCACCUUGACGGUACCUAACCAGAAAGCCACGGCUAACUACGUGCCAGCCGCCGCGGUAA